AUUGAACGCUGGCGGCAGGCCUAACACAUGCAAGUCGAACGCGUGGCGGACGGGUGAGUAAUGUCUGGGAAACAGCCCGAUGGAGGGGGGUAACUACUGGAAACGGUAGCUAAUACCGCAUAUCAUCUGGUGUGCCCCGAUGGGAUUAGCUUGUGGGGGGGGUAACGGCUCACCUCGGCGACGCUCCCUAGCUGGUCUGAGAGGCUGACCAGCCACACUGGAACUGAGACACGGUCCAGACUCCUACGGGAGGCAGCAGUGGGGAAUAUUGCACAAUGGGCGCAAGCCUGAUGCAGCCAUGCCGCGUGUAUGAAGAAGGCCUUCGGGUUGUAAAGUACUUUCAGCGGGGAGGCGUUACCCGCAGAAGAAGCACCGGCUAACUCCGUGCCAGCAGCCGCGGUAAUUC
rnacentral:rRNA from 1 species